AAUCUGUGCUAUUAAACAAUAAUGAAACUAUGAGCAUAAUAAAAACAUAAACAUGGAAAAAAUGAAUGCUAAAAGAAAUAAAAUGCCAUAUGUGGGUAUCGAACCCACUCCACUAAAAACUAGAAACUACCCUCUCUCCACUGGACCAAUUAUGAUUAGUUAUUAUUUAUAAGAAACACUUGGGUAUAUAAACCAGAACAGAUUGGAAUAAAGUUUUUUU
rnacentral:lncRNA from 1 species